rnacentral:rRNA from 1 species
GCAAUGGACGGAAGUCUGACCGAGCAACGCCGCGUGAGCGAUGAAGGUCUUCGGAUCGUAAAGCUCUGUUGUCAGAGAAGAACACGUGAUAGAGGAAAUGCUAUCACCUUGACGGUAUCUGACCAGAAAGCCCCGGCUAACUACGUGCCAGCAGCCGCGGUAAUACGUAGGGGGCAAGCGUUGUCCGGAAUUAUUGGGCGUAAAGCGCGCGCAGGCGGCCUCUUAAGUCUGAUGUGAAAGCCCACGGCUCAACCGUGGAGGGUCAUUGGAAACUGGGGAGCUUGAGUGCAGAAGAGGAGAGUGGAAUUCCACGUGUAGCGGUGAAAUGCGUAGAGAUGUGGAGGAACACCAGUGGCGAAAGCGGCUCUCUGGUCUGUAACUGACGCUGAGGCGCGAAAGCGUGGGGAGCAAACAGGAUUAGAUACCCAGGUAGUCCACGCCGUAAACGAUGAGUGCUAGGUGUUGGAGGGGCCACCCUUCAGUGCUGGCGUUAACACAUUAAGCACUCCGCCUGGGGAGUACGGCCGCAAGGCUGAAACUCAAAGGAAUUGACGGGGGCCCGCGCAAGCAGUGGAGCAUGUGGUUUAAUUCGAAGCAACGCGAAGAACCUUACCAGGUCUUGACAUCCUCUGACCACCCUAGAGAUAGGGCUUUCCCCUUCGGGGGACAGAGUGACAGGUGGUGCAUGGUUGUCGUCAGCUCGUGUCGUGAGAUGUUGGGUUAAGUCCCGCAACGAGCGCAACCCUUGAUCUUAGUUGCCAGCAUUCAGUUGGGCACUCUAAGGUGACUGCCGGUGACAAACCGGAGGAGGGUGGGGAUGACGUCAAAUCAUCAUGCCCCUUAUGACCUGGGCUACACACGUGCUACAAUGGGUGGUACAAAGGGCAGCGAAACCGCGAGGUCGAGCGAAUCCCAUAAAGCCACUCUCAGUUCGGAUUGCAGGCUGCAACUCGCCUGCAUGAAGCCGGAAUUGCUAGUAAUCGCGGAUCAGCAUGCCGCGGUGAAUACGUUCCCGGGCCUUGUACACACCGCC